AACUAAGUAAAGGGCAUUCAU
rnacentral:piRNA from 1 species